CACCGCGGUUAUACGAAAGACCCUAGUUGAUUGCCACGGCGUAAAGGGUGGUUAGGGAGACUAAAAAUAAAGCUAAAGACCCUCUAAGCCGUCAUACGCAUUCCGAGGACACGAAGCCCAAACACGAAAGUAGCUUUAAACUAUAUUAUUACCUGACUCCACGAAAGCUAAGAAA
rnacentral:rRNA from 1 species